rnacentral:rRNA from 1 species
AGUGAACGCUGGCGGCAGGCCUAACACAUGCAAGUCGAACGGCAGCACAAGAGAGCUUGCUCUCUGGGUGGCGAGUGGCGGACGGGUGAGGAAUGCAUCGGAAUCUGCCCAUUUGUGGGGGAUAACCUCGGGAAACCGGGACUAAUACCGCAUACGACCUACGGGUGAAAGCAGGGGAUCUUCGGACCUUGCGCAGAUGGAUGAGCCGAUGCCGGAUUAGCUAGUUGGAGGGGUAAAGGCCCACCAAGGCGACGAUCCGUAGCUGGUCUGAGAGGAUGAUCGGCCACACUGGGACUGAGACACGGCCCAGACUCCUACGGGAGGCAGCAGUGGGGAAUAUUGGACGAUGGGCGCAAGCCUGAUCCAGCCAUGCCGCGUGUGUGAAGAAGGCCUUCGGGUUGUAAAGCACUUUUGUUGGGAAAGAAAAGCAGCCGGUUAAUACCCGGUUGUCAUGACGGUACCCAAAGAAUAAGCACCGGCUAACUUCGUG